GCCGGGGUGGUGGAAUAGGUAGACACAAGGGACUUAAAAUCCCUCGGCCUUCUUGGCCGUGCCGGUUCGAUUCCGGCCCUCGGCA
rnacentral:tRNA from 1 species